rnacentral:misc_RNA from 1 species
GAUGAAGAACGUAGCGAAAUGCGAUACGUAAUGUGAAUUGCAGAAUUCAGUGAAUCAUCGAGUCUUUGAACGCACAUUGCGCCCCCUGGUAUUCCGGGGGGCAUGCCUGUCCGAGCGUCAUUGCUGCCCUCAAGCACGGCUUGUGUGUUGGGUCUCCGUCCUCCUCCCGGGGGACGGGCCCGAAAGGCAGCGGCGGCACCGCGUCCGGUCCUCGAGCGUAUGGGGCUUCGUCACCCGCUCUUGUAGGCCCGGCCGGCGCUUGCCGACACAUCAAUCUUUUUUCCAGGUUGACCUCGGAUCAGGUAGGGAUACCCGCUGAACUUAAGCAUAUCAAUAAGCGGAGGA